rnacentral:rRNA from 1 species
ACACUUUAAGUAAUGGAUGUCUUGGUUCUCAUAACGAUGAAGGACGCAGCA